rnacentral:rRNA from 1 species
AGUCAACAUGCCCAGGGGACGUGGAUAACCUCGGGAAACUGAGGAUAAACCGCGAUAAGUCACUGCUUCUGGAAUGGGCAAUGACUUAAAUCUAUAUGGCCCCUGGAUUGGACUGCGGCCGAUCAGGCUGUUGGUGAGGUAAUGGCCCACCAAACCUGUAACCGGUACGGGCUCUGAGAGGAGGAGCCCGGAGAUGGGCACUGAGACAAGGGCCCAGGCCCUAUGGGGCGCAGCAGGCGCGAAACCUCUGCAAUAGGCGAAAGCCUGACAGGGUUACUCUGAGUGAUUUCCGUUAAGGAGAUCUUUUGGCACCUCUAAAAAUGGUGCAGAAUAAGGGGUGGGCAAGUCUGGUGUCAGCCGCCGCGGUAAUACCAGCACCCCGAGUGGUCGGGACGUUUAUUGGGCCUAAAGCAUCCGUAGCCGGUUCUGCAAGUCUUCCGUUAAAUCCACCUGCUUAACAGAUGGGCUGCGGAAGAUACUAUAGAGCUAGGAGGCGGGAGAGGCAAGCGGUACUCGAUGGGUAGGGGUAAAAUCCGUUGAUCCAUUGAAGACCACCAGUGGCGAAGGCAGCUUGCCAGAACGCGCUCGACGGUGAGGGAUGAAAGCUGGGGGAGCAAACCGGAUUAGAUACCCGGGUAGUCCCAGCUGUAAACGAUGCAGACUCGGUGAUGAAUUGGCUUUAUGCCAAUUCAGUGCCGCAGGGAAGCCGUUAAGUUUGCCGCCUGGGGAGUACGGUCGCAAGACUGAAACUUAA